rnacentral:rRNA from 1 species
AUGGAUCGAGUCGAUCCGCUUCGGUCGCUUGAUCGUAUCCGUGGUAGUACUAGUUUAAUUUCUAGGGGAACGCGCGCACGAGACAGACGACAAAGCCGACGACGACCGGCGAAACACCGGAGCACCACCCGUUCGUCCCUCCUUCCAGAGGGACAUCAUCAUCGUUCAUCCUUGUGGCCCGGCCCGGCCCGGCGCAAACUACCCCCACAAAAACAAAAACAAAAACUCCACAGCGCCGUUUCCGAUAAGCUUUAUCAUUACUCCUCCUCCUCCUCCUCCUGCUUCCGUGGUGAUAGUUGA